CGACUGCCUAAUUAAAACAAAGCAUUGUGAUGGCCCUAAAGGGUGUUGACGCAAUGUGAUUUCUGCCCAGUGCUCUGAAUGUCAACGUGAAGAAAUUCAAAAAAGCGCGGGUAAACGGCGGGAGUAACUAUGACUCUUAAUUUCGGGUACACAGCGUCGAGCUCCCCUUACGGACCGACGAUGGACAAACG
rnacentral:misc_RNA from 13 species